rnacentral:tRNA from 1 species
GAAAGUGUAGCUCAAGCGGUAGAGCACAUGCUUAGCAUGCAUGAGGUCCUGGGUUCAAUCCCCAGUACCUCCU